ACCCCCCGCCCCCCAAUUAUAUUUCAGUUAUAUUUCUCGCUACCAGCCAGCUUGGAACACUAAAGAUAUUCACUAAAAUCCAUCGAUUGAGUGAAAAUGCUCGACUAACCUGCAUUUCCAACAUUUUCCGCACCACGUACAUUAGGGGUUACAGUCGAAAUCGAAAAUCGCCCCCCCCCCCAACAAAGGAAAAAAAAAAACAGGAUAUCCUCUGUAUUUAAAUAAUGGUCCAUCUAAGUUUACUGAAAAAAGGUUCUCAUAGAUUGGUAAAUAUGGGCCUGGUUGGUUGAACACAAUGCUGUCCAUUUGUAGAACAUUACAAUAUUCUUCCAUCUAGUGGAAGCAUUUGUUUUGGUUAUGCCACUGACUGUUCAUCAUUGGCAUAGAUAGAUGAACAGAGACACAUUAUUUGUAUAACAUUAAUUAUAAAUUUCAGACCAGUUAAAUUGGAAAAUACAACACUGGCUUGGAAUCACUGAACUAAACCGAGUUGACAGGAAAGUGCAUGUGAAUUGUUCAGCGUCAACUGCAUAGUAAAAUAUAAGUUCUAACCAUUUCAUUAGCUAACAUUAUUAAUUUGGAAGGAAUUCAUGAAAUGAAGUUCUGUGAAAUUACAUCAAAAACAAAAAUAUGCCCGAGACACAACAGCAAAAAAGUACAUCUUCACAUGAAACCUUUUCUUUUGGUCUUCUUCCAGGUGCCUCCAGGCGUGAGGAUGUUGCUCAGGAAGUUUCCUGCCAUCUGGGGGCAGCAGGUGGCCGCCGGCCUCCAUAGAUGUCGGAGUAAAGGGGUCAAACAAGGCACAGGUGCUCAUCCACACAAAUACACAAGUAUACAAUAACAAAAGUUUAGUAGGAUUGAGUUUUCUGGUAAAAUGUCAGGAUUACGCAACCUUUACAAGAAGACUUAAUUUGAUCGUCUGUUCACUUUUGAAUGUAUCCAAUUGUUCAAUGUUUCAGUACUUUAUGCACAUAUUACUGCUUUUUGUGAGGGACUCACUGUCGAGCUGCUGCUCCACCGCAUUGAGAUGAGCCAGAUGAGGGGGCUGAAGCAUCUGAUUUGGAUGCCUCCUGCAUGCCUCCCUGGUGAGGUGCUCCGGUCACAUCCCACUGGAAACAGUCGGUGACAAUCCAGGACACUCGCUCCUGGCCUGGGAAUGUUUCGAGAUCCCCCCCGGAAGAGUUGGAUGAAGUGGCUUGGGAAAGGGAAGUCUGGGCAUCCCUGCUAAAGCUACUGCCGCAGAGACCCGUACCGAAAAAGCAGUAGAAGAUGGAUGCAUGGAUGGAUGUGCAACCUGAAAUUUCACCAGAAAGGUGUUUGCCAAAAACAUAAUGCAACCUGAGGCAGUAAGGCUCACUUUUCCACAGCCAGAACUCCACACAGAGUGGCGCCCAGACAGAAAAAGUGCCUGUCUUCAUGAGGUCGCAUGGAAGCUGAAACCUAUUUAAGCUGACUUCUGGCAGAAGGCUGGGUACAUGCUUGACUGCUCACUCCCCAGUCGCAGUGCAGAAAAACACAUAUCACUUUACUUUUUUUUCCACUUUUCCUCCAUGUGAGUAGUUUACAAUGGACAGUUUGUCUUAAAAAUGAAUGAAAACUAUUGUUUUAUGCAACUGCAUUUUGGAUACUGAAAACCGUUUGAAAGCAUGCAUCAGAGUGUAAUUUUUUUUUUUAAUUGGGAAAAAAUGAAAUGCAUGUUACAAAAGUUAAGGAAGAUUAUGAUGAAUAU